AUGAAGUGGCGCCAAGCUUCUGGCAUUCUCUGUGACAAGAGAGUGCCACAAAAGCUAAAAGGCAAGUUCUACAGGACGGCGGUUCGACCCGCAAUGUUGUAUGGCACGGAGUGUUGGCCGACUAAAAGGCGACAUGUUCAACAGUUAGGUGUGGUGGAGAUGCGUAUGUUGAGAUGGAUGUGUGGCCACACGAGGAAGGAUCGAGUCUGGAAUGAUGAUAUACGAGAUAGAGUUGGGGUAGCACCAAUUGAGGAGAAGCUUGUCCCACAUCGUUUGAGAUGGUUUGGGCAUAUUCAGCGCAGGCCUCCAGAAGCUCCAGUGCAUAGCGGACGGCUAAAGCGUGCGGAGAAUGUCAAGAGAGGGCGGGGUCGACCGAUUUUGACAUGGGAGGAGUCCGUUAAGAGAGACCUGAAGGAUUGGAGUAUCGACAAAGAGCUAGCUAUGGACAGGGGUGCGUGGAAGCUUGCUAUCCAUGUGCCAGAGCCAUGA
rnacentral:rRNA from 1 species